UACCUGCUUCCCCAUAAAUCGUCCUCAUCUUCUUCUUCGUUGACAAACCCUACGGCGACCAGAAAACCGCUACUCCUCUCCAUCUCGUGCAACGAUUAACGAGUAAUCAUCCUCUCAAGACCACCAUCAUCAUCGGCCCACGCUUUAUUUGCGCCUUUCGCCUAGGCCCUAGGCGGAGCCUUAACGCCUUGAGUGCGCUUCCCGCCUUUGAUAACUAUGAUCCUGUGAUUGGGCAUGCGCCGCAAGUGAUGGGCAUGGUUACCCAUCGCAUUAAAUGCGAUGGGUAUAUAUAUGUCGUUUUAGGGUGAGAACUUCAUCGCUCCCUUCAACUUCUUCCCAAAAUUCUCACUCUUCCUUUGUCCUUCGUUGUUCUUUGAAGAUACUUGACCGACCUUCAAACUUUUUGGCAGAAUCUUCUUAGUUUCCCAGAUUCGUUACAACGAUGUCUACCUCGUCGGAAUCAAGAUCGAAUUGUCUCAUGUUUUUUGGUAUAUGUUGAUAAUAUUAUUUUGACCGGCAACAAUGAUACCUUUGUCUAACAUAUGUGCGUUGUCUAAUUUUUUUUUAUUAAAGAUCUUGGCAUACCACACCACUUUCUUGGUA